rnacentral:misc_RNA from 1 species
CCACGUUGUGAGCUUCGUAUUCGCGGUAUUUCGGGACUUUUCACUCGACCAAUAAAUCGAACAUCGUUGUCACGAUAGUGUAUUUGUUUCGACGAUUGAAACCGGUGCAACGUAACAUCGCGGACUGAGUUACAACGUUCAGCGAAAUUGGAAUUCCACGUCGUUUCGUCGGUAAUUUUCAACGGUGUUUCUCGCUCCGUUCCGGCUGUCGUUCGUUUUUCCCCGUUCGGUCUAUCGUAGUAGCGUGGUGCCACGAGAAGGAAAAGCAUCGGCAAACCGAGCACCGUGUGUUCCCCUUUUGUUUUACGAUCGAUCUUGAAUUUAAAAAAGUGUGUACAACGUGCAAGGAUUCGCGAUGCGACAGCACCGGGAAAUGCUCCAUUCGCAGCGGCACCGGCAACAGGAAGGACAAGACGUUCGAAGAGCAAGAUAGGCGAAAAUAGAAGGAGGCAUUAGAGCAACGUACUGCCGCCAACUUUCGACAGGAUUCACUCGAGGACGAACCUCGAUAAGGGGACGUUUGUCUCGCUCGUAACGUUUGAAAGGAGCGCGCGGUUUCGAACGAACACUCGUUUGACUGGUGACACCGUUUGUUGUUUACCAACGUCAGUGCGGUCAGGUAUUUAACGUCGAUUACUUAAAGGAGCACGGAGGAAACGAGUAAAAGAGAGGAAAGAACGCGCGAGUGCGUUCGUUGAACGUACAAGGAGAACGCGUGCUCGCCAGGUAAAGGGAAAAGGAGCAAGUCGGAAUAAGAAAGGUAAGCAAUAACGGCAAGUAGGCGCGCGAGAUGCAUUCCAGAUGAACGAUGACGCCGCACUGUCUGUAAGACUCGCGUGAUUUUCACAUUGUAUCGCGCUUGUCCGUCAUUGUCGUGUGUCAGGAGGUAUCGACGAUCGUCGGGCGGGUUAUGACGCGCGCUUAACGCAUUUGGUGCACGAAUUGAAGCGAGCGUGUGUCGAUCGUGUACAACAUGGAGUCCGACACGGCGACCGACCUCGAGACAUCAAUGCCGAGGAAAUUCCUUUGGCCGUAUCCGGUCUGCUGAUGUACAGGGAACUAGGGUUGGAAUCGCGAAUCGCCAGUUUGGAGGCUCGUAUUCAGGUUCAAGAAACACCGGACGUUCUUAUCCAGAGGCUCAGGAGGGAAGUUCAACAGCAGCUGGAGGCGCACCGAUCUGCCACGGAUUUGAACGUUUUUCGGAACAAGCGGGACACGUCCGACUGCAAUUGUCCACCAGGUCCUCCCGGUGAGCCAGGUCCUCCCGGAAAAAGGGGGAAAAAAGGGAAAAAGGGUGACCCCGGGGAACCAGGUCCACAGGGUAUGGCCGGGGCGGCGGGCAAAAGCGGUUUUCCGGGACCUAUCGGGAUAGAUGGACCAAAAGGUGAACCGGGUCGACCCGGCGAGAAAGGGCAAAAAGGCGAGCUGGGAAGCCCAGGGUUCGACGUCUUCUCCGCAGUAAAGGUCAAUGCACAGGGAUUAGGGUUAAAGAGGUCGGUGACGACGCUCCGCGGCGGGACGCUCGGCUAUGCGGAAAUCGUCGCUCUGAAGGGACUUCAGGAGCAAGGGCAUAAUAUCUCAGCGCAGACCAUCAUACAACUGAAAGGAGAGCCAGGAGAACCUGGCCCACCUGGGCCACCAGGUCCCCCGGGAGCCGAAGGUCUUCCCGGACACGAGGGCAGACAAGGAACACCGGGCGAAGUUGGACCACCGGGUGAAAAAGGAACACCAGGACCUAUUGGACCUAUUGGUCCCCCCGGUACGCCGGGACUUCCGGGUCCCAAGGGUGACAGGGGUGAUAAAGGCGAUCGUGGUAUAACAACGUCCUUGAGCGGGGAACCGUUUCCAACUGGAGUAUUGGAAGGACCGCCCGGUCCACCAGGACCACCUGGGCCCAAGGGCGAGAAGGGGGAGCUGGGUCUGACGGGACCACCCGGUCUGACGGGAGAGAAGGGUGCCCGGGGAAAGCAAGGGAAGAGGGGUUUCAAGGGUGAGAGCGGUAUGGCAUUGAUGAGAGGCCCACCCGGGCUACCGGGUCUAAAGGGUGAACCCGGUGAACGGGGUUACCGGGGCGAAAAAGGCGCCAAGGGAGACACGGGCUCAUCAGGACCGAAGGGAGAUCAAGGAUCACCUGGCUUACCUGGACUCAAUGGGACAGAUGGAGAAACUGGUAUUCAGGGUCCACCAGGAUUGCCAGGUGCGUUUGGACCUAAAGGUGAGAAAGGCGAAAACGGCGACAUUGGGCCUCCAGGACUUAUGGGUCCACCGGGCUUACCUGGUCCACCGGGAUAUCCCGGGCUGAAAGGUGAAAAAGGAGAAAAGGGCGAAUCGAAAUACAAAAAACUCAGGCGAAGACAGGGAGACGGUACGUUCGAAGUGAAUGCCGGCGAAGUGAUAAUGGGCCCACCGGGACCACCCGGUCCAGCUGGUACUCCUGGACUUCAAGGUCCACCUGGCAUUAAAGGCGACCGAGGACAUGACGGCGCCAAAGGCGAUCCUGGAGAGAAGGGUGCCAAAGGAGAUCCUGGUCCAAUGGGACUACCCGGCCCCAUGGGACUGAGAGGAGAAUCCGGAAAACCCGGGGAUGCCGGGAAACCUGGUGCCAUGGGGCCACCAGGAUUAGACGGCAUGAAGGGUGCGCAAGGAGAACCAGGCACGAAGGGAGAAAGAGGGGACUCGGGACUACCUGGUACCGAUGGAAUUCCUGGCGCGGAGGGACCGCAAGGGGAGAAAGGUGCUAAAGGCGAAUCUGGACCGCAAGGGAAACGCGGUAGAAAAGGCGACAAAGGUGACAAGGGAGAUCAGGGUGUUCCAGGACUCGAUGCUCCCUGUCCAUUAGGGGCCGAUGGACUCCCGUUAGCAGGAUGUGGAUGGAGACCACCUCAGCAGGACAUCACUAGCACUUCGAUACCAGCAGUCGACGGUCCUGAACCUGCCGAAACGGAUUAUGAGGCACCCGAAGAGGACUAUGAGGAGUAUACGGAGCAGAACGGAAAUCUAGCCGAGCAAUAAUGCCCAUUGUGCGCUGCCCUAAUCACUACCAACAACUACUACCACUACUACCACUACCAUCACCACUACAACCACCAAAACCACCACCGCCAUCGCCCUCAUCACUCGUCUCACCUUGCUCUCCCAAACUAACGUGGUCCUGAGAAGAAGAAACAUAAUUCACGAUUGGCUGGAAGAAGAACGAGAAGAAGAAGGGCAGUGAUACAAUUAUAUUAAGGAAGAUAGGAUAUAUUUUCAAGGACCUAUGUGUAUACUCCAUCGUGAAAACAUCAUCUAAUUUGACGUGAAAAACCGAGUUAUUUAAGAAAAAGAAAUAUAUAUAUAUUUUUUUACAUAUAUAUAUUUUUUUUUCUUUCUUUUGGCAUAUACAACGCGUGUAUGCCAAAACGAUCAUCUUGCCAUCGAGUGUUGUAAAUAAGUGUACUUACAGUGUUUAGCGUCCGCAAAUAGUGCGUGUACAUAAAUAUUUAGAGCUUACUACUGCGAACGCGGAUAGAACAUCAAUAUAAUUUUACUGACAGUUCGUCUGUAAUGCAAAUAUAAAUGUCAAUAUAAAAUGUCAAUAUAAAAAACGUAAAUAUCAAUAUCAAAAUAUCAUUUGCACAACGUAAUACGAUGAUAGCGAAGUUGUGGAAAUAUUGAUUUAUUGAUACGAUCAGUCACCUACGAAAACGUGUUAAUUUUUAAAAAACAACAUUCUACACGACGAAUGAUUAUUGUAUUUAUGUAUUUGCUACAUAGGUAUACUUUACGAGAGUAGAAAAUGUAAAUUUAACGAACCUAAGCAACCACGCAGCAAAUUUGAAAUAUUAAUCAUCGUAAUACAGUUAGCUGUAAAUGAAAUCGAUAAAAGAAACUUGUUAAUUUUAAUUUCAGAAGUAUCGUUACUUUUAGCAUAUAUCCAUAGAAAUUUCAAGUAACGUUAUUCUUCUGCGCUUAUUUAUUUUAUUCUUUUAUUUUUGUUUGCUAAGGCGCAAACCAAAUACAUCUACGCACAAUUAUAUUAUGUAUUAUAUAUUAUUGUAUUAAUUAUGGAUUGUAUUGCACAUCACUAUGUUUUUAAGAGUUUUUAAUUUAAAUCGCAUUGCAUUGAGAAGGUUAAAUUUUUAAUUUCGUUUAAAUUUAUAUAAUUUUUUCUGAACUGCUUAGAAACGUCAAA